UCCCGGCCCUUGUUUCCUGUUCUUGCUGUUGACACACCUGUCCCUUGCCAAGAACUGACGCGGGGUAGAGACAUUCCGUGUGCGGGGACCCGCUGACCCAGAAGAUGCAAGGAGCCUCCUGUGUGUUCAGCAACGCCAGAGCCCCGAAGGCACAGAGGGCCCUGUGGAAAGCACAGACGCGGAUGCUCGAUGCCUGCUGUCCUCUGCCCACUGCCCAGCUCUUGGGCUGCUCUGUGCUCUGCACGGGCCACACCUGCCGUGCCCAGCCCCCACCCUGCCGCUGCUCUCCCCUCCCCACGUGGAGUGCGUGGAGCAGAAGGGCUGGGGUGGAGCCCCAGGGCUGCUCCUGCUGCUCCAGGUCUCCAGGGCGGAGGGAAACACGCCUUUCCCCCAACCCUCCACGCCCAGCUCCUCUGCUCAGGCACCAGUUAGGAACUCAAGCCUCCCCCAGAAGCUCCUAAAAUCUCCUGGUGCACAAAGAGCCAUUGACAGUUCCCUGGCUCCAGGCAAGGCCGACAGUCUUCCUGACCAGGAGUGUCCACACCCUGUGGCUGGAAUCGGGGAGUGGGACUCUGAUGGUUGAGCUUCAAGCCCACCCUGGUGAACACAUCAGGAUGUGUGGGGACCUCUCCCGAGAAUUGCAGGCAUCCUCACAUCCUGGUUCCUCCCACCCGCCAGGCAUUGAGCAGAAUCUCCAACACCCAAGUCAGUGACCCCAGAAGGCCCAAGGGGCUCUCCACAUUUCUUCUAGCUCAUUCCAUCUUUAGCCACCAGUGCUGGAACCGAGGAGACCUCUUCCUGGGCUUAAUCAUUUCAGCAAUGCAGCGACAGAAUGACCCAGCAAGAGGAAGUGGGGUUGGCAGAGAGCCUUCCGCCUGUGCUGGAGAAGAGAGACGCCUCACCUGCCCCAGAGCGCCACCCACCCUGAGAGACAGCCAGGACAGCAGGCGCUGGGCCCACGGGGCUCCUCUGCGAAGCCCGAGGCGGUGAGAGUGACCCUGCCUGGGUGGAUGCCCAAGGGAGGUCCCUGAGGAAAUGUCGUCGGCUCCCCUGGAGACUCCAGGGUGGGUUGGUGAUCCACUCUGCUGCGCUGGUCCCCCAGCACGUGCUGACGCACGCACGUGCGCACACAGACAUAUACACAGACACACACACACACAUAAAUCUUAAUUGUGUCCGGGGCUUUUUACAGCAUUAAUUAAUCAUAUUUAGGGCUGUUUCCAGCUGUUGCUGAGGGAAAGAAGGUCCCGCAUGCCUGCGACUUAGGGUAAAUCCAAUCAGAUGGAGGAAUUCGUUGAUUCUGCUGAGGCCAAGCAUGGGAAAGUCUCUUGUAAUCCCAGAGCCCCCCGACCCCUGCCUGCCUGCCCCUCCCCCCGGGCACAGCCCUGGAGAAGGGAGGGCAAGGGGGGUCGGGGAAGGGAGGAGUGGAGUGGCCACUGGAGAAGCACAGGGCGGGGAGGAGCUGAGCUGGCUGCACUCUGGAGUUGGGGCCUCAGGCUGACCUGAAGUUUCUCCCUCUGUACUUGGGCCUCUUAGAGGGCUGAGAAGGGUCCAAGGCUCCUGAAUAGCCACUGGGCUCAGAGUCACUGCAGGAGGCUGGGCCUGGCUGAGUCAGAGCAGCGGGUAGGCAAUCGCUGACCCAAUUCCGGCUCUGCACAGCCCACAUGGCCUGGGGCUGGAGGGGGGGCCUCCCCAGGCCCAGGGCUCGGUGGCCUCUUCUCCCAAGGCCCUGCCUCAUCUCUAAGGCCCUGGGGCUUUCCAGCUUCUCUCCAUUUCGGGGUCUCUUGCUUUCUCGGGCUCAGGAGCUUGAUUUGAGUCUCUUGCGGAUCUCUGGGAUCCAAGGGCACCACCUCGUAUCUUCAUGGAGACUCACCUUUCGAUAGAGGCAUCUUAGGGGGCCCAGGCUGGGACUAGAGCGGCCUCUUUGGUUCAUUGCUAGUCACCCACUGGGCUCUCCUGUCAAGCAAAUCUGGGGAGGGGCUCCUCACGGCAAAGGGAACACGGAGCUCCUGCCUGACCCCGCCCCAGCACACCCCUGUGGAGGCCUCCUAGGUCCUGGUCUAACUGGGCCUACAUAAUUGAGGAGCCCAUUAUAGCCUUGCUGUUUCCUCACUGUCAAGUGUAAAUGCUGCACUGGUCGGGUGGGGAAAUGGGGCUAAUUUGAAUUGAUAAUAGGAAACUCGGGGAAAAGUCAUCUAUAGUGAGUGAGGAGCGGAGCGAUCCCCGAGCAGAUGCUAAAUCUUGUAUAAUGAAAGAAUCUGCCGAUGUCAAUUAUGUACGAGCAUCUUUGCAGUGGUUGGAGGCAGUGGGCGGGUGAGGCAACGGAGGCUGGGUGCAUCCCAUAAACCCAAACACCCAUCACAGGCUCAUACAUAUGGAGCGGCGGAGAUUACAGCAUAAAUUUGAAUGUUAUGAAUGUGCAUGAGCGACAGGCAGGAAGCUCACCUCGCCAAGGCAGGAAAGGCGCUGCUUCCCGGGUUGUGUACAGGAAGCUUUUGUCCCCUGGAUCCUCAACUGUGCCCACUCUGUACCCAAUUGUGUCCCACAGAGAAGAAAGACAGCAGGGAAAGGUCAGCUGUGCUCCUGGGACUGGAAUGUGGAUGCCGGGGGAGCUCUGGCCUGAGCAGCCCUUGCCCCAUUGAAAGCCACGGGAUGAGACCCAGAGGCCAGUGUGGCCAGAGAUGGGAGGGACAUUAGAAUCCGCGCUCCUGCCGACACAGCUUGCCCUUGCCCAGCGGAAGAGACAGGCUGGACCAGGACAGCCAGUCUGCAAGGCAGCGACUACAAACGCACGGCCAGAGGUUCCUGGAAGACCACGUGGAGGAAGAGGCCACAGCUGCCAACAGAGGGGGCCAGCGCCUCAGUGUGACAACACCAGGGUGGGCCUUCCAGCUUGGAAGCACAAGUCCACGCCACUCCUGGGAGUGUGUCUGUGUAACAGGGCCCAGGCCCCUCUGCUGGUUUCCAACCUGCAGUGCUCUCUGAGCAGACUCUGUGAUUUGCGGUGCAGGCCACCCAGGGACUUUAAUCUUCACCGUGACAAAUGCAAUAAAAGGAACAAUUUGGA